UAACAGAACUCCUUUUCUCUAUCGUCCCUCUCAAAACCCUAGCGCCGCAGACACAUCUUCUUCAAAAAAUCGACAUCAAACACCGAUUUCACAUCUUCAAAUACGAUUUUUCUCAACUUCAAUUGUUCAUCAUCCAUUUAAGUUUUGCAGGAUCUAACCUUCAAUGAUCUCGGUGAUGAUUUUUAGGAGGUCGAUCAAAAAUGUCGUGGUGCCAGAUACGGAAUUUUUGAUACCAGUGAUCCUGGAGAUGAUUAUAUGGAGGUUUCUGUUGUAGCCAAUUGUGAAGGUGUACAUGGACGAUGGGUGGCGUUUGGAUUUGAGUCAGACUUGCUUUAUUUCAUACUCACCACCAGAUUUCUACACAAAGGUGGAAUAUAGAUCCAUUUUGAGCUCCAGCAAGGAGACAGUUCUCUUAUGAGGUUAUGUUCACCGGUGAGAAAGAAGGCAUUG